CCGGCCCGGAAAGCUGUACUCUCAUCCCCUUCUCCCUCCCGCCACCAUGUUCAAGAAGCUGAAGCAGAAGAUUAGCGAGGAGCAGGUGCUGCCGCGCGGAGCGGGUAGACGUGCGAGCCCCCUCCCACCGCAGGUCCCUUCCAGAUCCCCUCCAUCAACUGGCAACAGAAUCAGGACAACUUCGUUUACAGAUCAGAAUCAUGAAGGUACUUUAACACCAGACAAAGAGCUAUUAGCCGGGAUGAUAGCAGAACCUGCUUUUCUCUCUGAGUAUACUAUCUUUGCUUUGGAUCCCACCAAACAGCCUAAGCCACAGAGUGACGGUGUGAACUUGAAUAAACAAUCACUUCCUGGAUCCACAGAAAACAAUGGAAGUGAACCUGUUUCUCCACAGCAAAGUGACAGUCAGUCUUUUGCCCAGAGGCUUCAGCUUCGAGUUCCCUCCAUGGAGUCUUUGUUUCGAAGCCCAGUAAAAGAGACCCUAUUUCGCUCCUCUUCUAAAGAGUCCCUAGUCCGGAGUUCUUCAAGAGACUCACUGAAUCGACUAGACUUGGAAGCCCUUAGUCCCACCUUUGAUUCACCUUCUGACAUUGAAAGUGAAACUGAAGAGCCUCUGGGAAAUAUGGACACCUUCAGCAAAGAGCAGUUGCUGCAGCGUCUGCAUAGAAUGGAGCGCAGUUUAGGCAACUAUAGGGGAAAAUACUCAGAGCUAGUGUCUGCUUAUCAAGUUAUCCAUCGGGAAAAGAAGAAGCUACAGAGCAUUCUGAGUCAAAGCCAGGAUAAAGCACUUCGCAGAAUUGGAGAACUGAGAGAGGAACUACAGAUGGAUCAACAAGCUAAGAAACAUCUCCAAGAGGAAUUUGAUGCUUCCUUAGAAGAAAAGGAUCAACUUAUUAAUGUCCUGCAAACUCAGGUGUCGUUGCUGAAACAGAGAUUACAGAAUGGUCAGAUAGGCACUGAAUUGCCUGAUCAAAAUGUCCAAACAGAACCACAAGUUCAAAGUCCAACGGAAGAAGUCAGUGCAGAAGAUACUGUGGAACCAGGAAGCAAUGAGCGUAAUGAAGAUUCUGUUAAAACACUGGAAACUCUUAAUCUGAGGGUGAAGCGCCAAGAGAACUUGCUGCAGCGUUGUAAGGAGACUAUUCGGUCACAUAAGGAGUGCUGUGCCCAGUUAACCAACGAGAAAGAGGCACUUCAAGAACAGCUGGAAGAGAGGCUUCAGGAGCUGGAAAAAAUGAAGGACCUUCACAUGGCUGAGAAGACUAAACUGAUUACACAGCUACGUGAUGCAAAGAAUUUGAUUGAACAGCUAGAACAAGACAAGGUAAACAAAACUGGCAUGGUAAUUGCAGAGACAAAGCGGCAAAUGCAUGAAACAUUGGAAAUGAAGGAGGAGGAGGUAGCCCAACUGCGUGCCCGAAUCAAGCAAAUAACUACAAAAGGCGAGGAAUUAAAAGAGCAGAAAGAAAAAUCUGAAAAAACUGCUUUUGAAGAGCUUGAGAAGGCUGUAAGUAUUGCCCAAAAGACAGAGGAAGCCCGGAAAAAACUGCAAACAGAAAUGGAGGAAAAAAUUAAAGCAGUAGAAAAGGCAAGUGAAGAAGAGAGAGUAAAUCUUCAGCGGGAAUUAACCAGAGCGAAACAAGAGGUGGUUGAAAUUAUGAAGAAAUCUUCAGAGGAACGAGUUGCUGAACUAGAAAAAAUCCAUAAAAAAGAACUGGCUACCAAAGAUCAGGAGUUAAAUGAGAAAUUACAGGCUCAAGAAAAGGUAUUCCAGGAGAAGAUGAAGGCAGCUCUUGAAAAAAAUCAGAGUGAAUGCUUAAAAGUCCUUCAAGAGCGAGAGCAGCAAGAAUCUCUAGCCUUAGAAGAAUUAGAGCUGCAAAAGAAAGCCAUACAGUCUGAGUGUGACAAGAAAGUUGAGAAGAUGCAUCAAGAAGUAGAGACUUGUAGAACUAGAAUUCUUGAACUGGAAAGCUCUCUUGCAAAGUAUUUGCAAGAUGACAGAAGGCAGUCAGAGGAAUUAAAUACUCUCAUAGAGUCUGAAAAAACCCAGCACAGUAAGGAAAUCAAUGAUAUGGUUGAAAAACACAAUAAAGAACUGGAGAAUGUGAAACAGCAGCAAGAAAAGCUUUGGACAGAAAAACUUGAAAUUUUAAAGCAACAACAAAUAACUGAAAUAGAAAAAAUAAGAGAGAAACAACAACAAGAGAUACAAACCAUUUUGAAAGAGAAAGAAACAAUUUUCUGUGCACACAUAGAAGAGAUGAAUGAAAGAACAUUAGAAAAACUUGAUGUGAAACAAACAGAAUUAGAAGCACUAUCUUCUGAGCUAUCAGAAGCACUAAAAAUACGUCAUGAUUUAGAGCAAGAGCUCUCAGAAAUAAAUAGUAAAGUGUGUGAAGCUAAGCAAGAAUUGAAAGGAAGGUUGGAAGAAGAGAGGAAACAGCACAAUGAAGUGAUUGAAGCAAUGUUAAAAGAGCAUGAAAUGUCUAUUCAAGGUGUUGAGAAGGUACUCAAAGAGGAACUCAACAAGCUCAAACAAUCACUGGAGGAGAAGGACAGACAUUUGGAGGAGUUAAAAGCACAUGAACGGAAAAUGAAGGAAUCUGCAGAAAGAUCUGAAGCUGAACUUGUCCAAGUGUCUGCAAAGUUAGAGGAGCAAAGAAAUGAAAAUAUAUGGAAAGUAACCGCUCUAACACAGCAGUAUGAAUGUCAACUGAAGGACCUAGAAAGAAAGGCUGAUGAGAUGAAGAGAAGUCUGACUGAGAAGGAAAAUGAAAUGGAGCACAUGAAGAAGUUACAGAACAAGCAAGUGGAAGAGCUUAAACAGAAACUGUUAGCUGCAGAGGAGAGAAUUAGUGCUUUACAAGGAGAGUAUGAAAGUAAACUGAAAUGUCAGGAGAAGAAAGUGGAGAAAAUGAAGCAGAAAUCAAAAGAUAUGCAGGAAACUUUCAAAAAUAAACUUGCUGAGCAGGAAGCUAAACUAAAAAAAGAGCUUGAAAACAUGCAGUUGGAAUUCAGUCAGAAAGAGAGUGAAUUCAAUACUAAAAUCUUGGAAAUGGCUCAUGCCAGCUCAUCUGGAAUCAAUGAUGCAGUGUCAAAACUGGAAUCUAAUCAGAAAGAGCAACUAGACAGUCUUGCUGAGGACCACAAAAGGAAAUUGGAAGGAGUAAUCCAAAGUUGGGAAAAGAAACUUAAUCAGCAGAUUGAAGAGCUUAAGGAACAACAUGCUUUGGAACUGCAAGAGAAAGUGCAGGAAGUUGGAGACCUGAAACAGAAGCUUUUCAUCGUCAGUGCUGAAAAGGAGGACUCCAGAACAGAAAUAAUCCAACUGAAGGAAGAACGAGGGAAAAGGGAGGAAUGCCUGAAGGAGUUGCAAGAACAGCUAAGGCAGUCAGUGGCUAAGGUGAAUGCUUUGUCAGAUAAGGAAAGUGACAUGAAAACACAGUUGAAAAAAUUGGAAAGUGAUCUUAAACAGUCCCUGAAACAGCAGACAGGACUUCAGGAACAACUCAGUAAACAGAAAGCAGUUGAAGAGAAGGACAAAGCCACAAUUACUGAGCUGACUGAUAUACUGAGAACCCUUGAAGAAAAACUCCAAACUGUGCAAUCUUCUCAGUAUAAAGAUCAUAAAAAUUAUGACAAAAAAUCAGAGACAAUUAACCUAAAAGAAAUGGAGUUUAAAAGGUUGUCAGGAGAACUUACAGCCCAGUUAGAUGCUUGGAAGAGUGCUGAAGCUUCAUUGCAAACUAAAGGCGAUGAAUUAAUUGAAAAAUGUAGUGAAAAAAUUGGCAUAAUAACAUGUAAAAUUGCAGACUGUGAGCACCAAACUGCAAAGGUUAAAGAAGCAAUAUUAAUCAAAACAAGUAAGAUAACUGAACUAGAAGCUCAACUUAGGGAAAUAACGGAGCAUCAUUCUGCUGCUACUACUUCUUUGCAAAAGUCAAUGCAAGAACUGCAGAAGAAGGACAAUUUAAUUAUGUCCAUGAGAGCUGACAUUGCAGGACUUGUAACAGAAAAGAAACAAUUGCAAAAAGAGGGAGAACAUCAGCAGCAAGCAGCAUCAGAGAAAGAAACUUGCAUAACACAGCUGAGGAAAGAGUUAUCUGAAAAUAUCAAUGCUGUCACAUCAAUGAGGGAAGAACUCCAGAAAAAACAGUCUGAAGUGUCUGCUCUCAACAAAACAGUUACUGACCUUAAUGUUAGACUUGAAAGCACAGUAAGUUUAACAGAGAAGGAAGCAGCCAUAUCUCUGUUAAGCAAACAACAUCAAGAGGAUCAGAUGCAGUUGUUAAAUCAAGUAGAAGAGUUAUCAUCCAGAGUUGAGAUGCUGAGUCAAGAAAAAGCAUCAGCUUUUGAUCAGAUAGAUCAUUGCACAGCCCAGCUGUCAGAGUGGAAGAUGAAAGCACAAACCAGGUUUACACAAAAUCAUGAUACUAUCAAAGAUUUGCAGAGCAAACUUGAAUUAAGCAAUACUGAAGCCAGUAAAAAAGAUGAAGAGCUAAAUAAACUGAAGGAACAGCUGGCUAAACAAAGCAGGAAUCUUGAUAGUUUAAAAAGUGAAUUGGAACAAAAGCAAAACAGGAGGGAAAAGGAAGAAAAUGAGUUAACCUCAAAGUUAAAAAAACAAGCAGCAAAAAUUGCUGAACUAGAAAAAAACAUUGCUCAGAAAACCUUAGAAAAUGAUUCCUUGGUGGAGGAACUUAAAAAGUGUAAUGAACAAAAAAACACAGAGAAAAAAGAAAUAGUUUGGCAACUCCAUCAGGCAGAGAAGGUGGCUUUUGAAAAGGAGAAUAGAUUUAAGAAGGCUGAAGAAAAAGUGCUUAAUCUUGAGAAGCAAAUAGGUUCACUGAAAGCUGAUUUUGAAGCAAAAGAGAAGGAAUUUGAUCAAAUUAAGUCAGUGAUACUUAAAAGGAAAGAGGAAGAACUGAAAGAAUUAGAAGAGAGACUGAAUGCAGAGAACAGCACUAAGCUGGCUGAUCUGAAAAAGAAGGCAGAGCAAAAAAUAGGCUCUAUUAGAAAGCAACUACUGUCUCAGAUGGAAGAAAAGGAACAGCAAUUUAAGCAAGAUAGGUUGGAUCAGUUAAGAAAGUUGGAGCAGAAAUUACAGGAGAGAGAAGCCAAAAUUGAGUCCUUAGAAGAAAAAAUUAAGUCAACAAGAGAUUCCCCAGAAUUAGAGAAGGAGAUGCUGGAAAAAGUAGAGAGUGUAAAAGCUGCUGUAGAACAAGAAAAAAAUAACUUACUUGAGAGUGUCCAACAGACAUACAAAGAGAAAAUUCAGGUAUUACAGAAGGGCUUAACAGAAAAAGAUGCAUUAUUACAGAAGUAUGAGAAAGAACAACAAGAGAGUAAUGACUGUCACCUAGAACUGCAAAACAAACAAAAAGAACUCAUUAAAAAACUAGAAUGUGUUGAGAAGAGCCAUCAGGAAGAGCAGGUUAGGACCAAAAGUCUCAGGAGAGAACUUGACGAGCAAGCCAAAAAAUAUUCAUUGUUAGCGGAUGAGCAUGCAUGUUGUGGCAGUAUUUUAGCAAGCAGUAGGGAAGAAUUGAAAGUUAAAGAACAAAAAUAUCUUGAUAUGGAGAAUAUAAUUGGAGACUUACAGAAAAAAUUGCAGGAAAAGGAGGCAGUCAGUCAGUCUUUAGAACAGAAGAUAAAAGAGUUGGAAAAUAAUGUAGUGAAGAAAAAUGAAAUGCUUAAGAUUGAGAUGGAAGAUAUGACUUCAAGAUAUGAAGAAAAGCUAAAAUGUCUACAGCAACAGUUGGGUGAAAGAAAUGACAGUCUGAAAGCUUUUGAGGAAAAUGCUGAAGAAAAGUCAAGAUCUGUUUUGGAGCUGCAGAAGUUACUUGCUGAUAUGCAGAACCAGCAGAAGGACUUACAGACUAAACUGGAAGAGACUGAAGGGGAGAAACAGAAACUACGCAAAGAGGUGAAUAAUCUUCAAAAAGACAUACGUACUUUGCGAAAGGAACAUCAGCAAGAGCUUGACAUAGUAAAGAAGGAGUCAUUAGAGGAAAUGGAGCAAAAAAUCAGAUGUGAACAAGAAGACAUUGAGUUAAAGCACAACUCCAUCUUAAAGCAGUUAAUAAGAGAGUUCAAUACUCAGCUGGCUCAAAAAGAGAGAGAAUUGGAAGCAGCAGUAAAAGAAACAAUCAGUAAAGCCCAGGAGGUAGAAAAUGAAUUGAUAGAAAAUCAUCAUAUGGAGACAACACAGUUGCAUAAAAAAAUUGUUGAAAAAGAUGAUGAUUUGAAAAGAACUGUGAAAAAAUAUGAAGAAAUCCUUGAGACUCGUGAAGAAGAGAUGACAGCAAAAGUUCAUGAGUUGCAGGCACAGCUGGAAGACUUGCAGAAGGAAUACAAACAAAGGAUUGUGGAAGAGGAACAUAGCAACAGUGAAAAAGUCACAAUAACAGAACUAAAGGCACAACUUGCACAGAAGACAACUCUAGUCAAUGAUUCAAAACUGAAGGAGCAGGAAUUGAAAGAGCAGAUUCAUAUACUGGAAGACCAGCUGAAACAUUAUGAGAAAAAUAUGUAUGUCACAUCAGUUGGAACACCAUAUAGAGAUGGAAACCUUCACCAUACUGACGUUUCCCUAUUUGAGGAACCCACUGAGUUUGAAUACUUGAGGAAAGUCAUCUUUGAAUACAUGAUGGGUCGUGAGACAAAGGAUUCAAUAGGCUUUCACAUUUUUUCCCAAAGAGACAUGAUUCAUAACUUCAAAACUUGAUCAGCUUGCCAAGAUGAGUGACAAUGGCCAAGGUUAUAACAACAGUGCUGAAGUUCCCAGCAGAUCAGACUCAGAAGAUACUAGAACGAGAAGAUGCUCGACCAGUGAAUCACAUCUGAGGAAAGUGUUAAAUACUUCAACAUUUUCCUGUACACUUAGUAUGGUCGAGAGCCUUGCAAUCUUAAAUAUUUUUAAUACUUUUAGACUAUAAAAAUAUUGAUUAUACUACAGCUCCAGUAAGUAUCAUGUAUUCAAAGCAUGAUUUUCUCUCUCUGACAUUAAAAUAGAAAGCUGAGACUUUUUUGUUUUGUUUUGUUUUGGUAAGCCAGAGUAAUAUUUAGGAAAGAUUUUGAGAACAGAGAGAUGGGCCUUGUUUGGCAGCCACUUCAGCUUUUUGAUAUUUAAACCUGUUCUUCCUACAACAGCCAUUCAUAACUUUUGAUACAAAAUAAAAAUUUAACUUGAAUUCAUCAAACAAAUUUUCAUCCUUGAUAUUAAAUUUUGUCUAAAACACACAGUGAAGUUUUUUUGCAGGCUACAAGUGUUUUGAUUUGUUAAUAAUGUCUUUGUUCAAAGAGCUCUUGGGUUUCACUUAGCAGUCCCUUUUUGGCUUCUAUCUGGCCUAUGAAUUUUCUGCUUUCCAAAUCCACAACGAGACUGAGUUACACAUCUAACAGAAACUCAAAUAUUAAGGCAUAGUAUGGAGGAAGUAUUUUUUUCCUCCACUUUCAACGUUAUGUGUUUGUUUGCUGAAGCACAAAUUAUUCUGGGGAUGAGUCUUCCAUAAUUCUGUUUAGAACGAAAAAGUUGGAGAUGUCUUUAUAAAUUAUUCUAUCAAAAAAUAUGCUUGGUUUCUUUUGUUUUUUAUUUAUUGACUGACAUGGCUCUCAUGUUUCUCCAUACUUAAUACUGGACUGAUGCCAGUAUAUGAAAAUAUCCAGUGUUUAGCUCUGAGGAGCAUUGAAGUUCUGAACUACAACAUAAAUGUGCAUUUUAACAUAGAGCUUUUAGUUUAUUGCUAAAACAUCUGUAAGUAAUUUUGAUGUGUAAGUUAUUAACUUACUGUGCUACUAGAGUAAGUGUGUGGCACUAAGUAUCUGUAACUAAUUUUAUACCCUCUUAGUGGGCAUAUAUUUGACAAGUUUCUGAAAACUUGUAGCAGUUCCUGGUUAAUAAACACAUGCUAGAUCAGUGUAAUCUUCAGUAAUCUGGCUUUUACCAUGUUGGUGUGAUCUAACUGCAGCAAUCUCAUCCAUAGAUUCCCACAGAGUUCUUACUUGUUAACACUACAUAACACUAUCAGUCAAAUAGUCCAAUGAACUCUUUUCUUCCUGGCUUUGUAGUUUGCCUCACCUCGCAGUGGUAUCUUUUGAAUAUGCCACCAGUCUGUGUUUAGCUAGCAUGUGGGUGAGUGAAGUCUAAUACAUUCUUGUAUUAUGUAAAAUGAAAUCUGUAUUAUGCAAUUAAUAUUAAUGGUUCUUCUGUUUGGGGUUUGUUUUUUUUUUUGCCUGCUUUCCUUUGUUAAAGAACAAAUUCUGGUUGUAUAUGCAUAUGAUAAUUUUUGUUUUCCUCUUAAUCAUGUUUUGCUUUACAAAGCUGAGUUUGAAAAUGGUAAAUACUGAUUCAAAACCAGGCUUUUUGAGUGACCCUAGCCCUAAGCAUAACUUCCAAUGUUGACUGAGCCACAAAAAUCUCAGUAGUAGAAAUAAAAUCAGAUUUUAAAUCAAUUAAUAUGUAAUACUGAAUUUAAUUGCACUUGGCUUUGUUUUGGAUUUAUUCAUUUUCUAAGUUUUUUGAAUAGGCAAAUAAAUCAGAUUUGUGGGAGACAUACUGUACUGCUUGAAAUGAAUUAUUACAUCUUGUAAAUAUGAAAAUGCGUUAUCUUAAAAAAGAUGAAUAUUCUCUGCAGAGGGAUUAGAAUAUAAUUGCAUUUAAACAUCAGUACCUUUCUGAAUCACAGCUUUGGUUUGAUAUCAAGAGACACUAAAGCAGAGAGAUGACAGAGAACAAUUAGGGGAGCUUUAUGCUCUUGGUUUGUGUCUUUCUUCAAGUUUUGUUAAGCUACUUCAAUUAUGAAUCUCCAAUGCUAGCUGUAGCAUUACAAGAACGGAACAGCUGACGUAGGCCUGAAGAUGCAGGUUGCAUCAGACUAGCCUAGCUAAACAAGCAACACACAUGCAAUAGCUGGUUGAGACUGGGCUAUGGAACUACACAGGAAAAAACUUUCUGCACUGGCUGAUAAAGAUUAUGAUUUGAAUCACUAGUGGUGUAUGAUAUUUAAUAAACUCUGCAGAUGAAUUCUAUGGGAUAUGGUCGGUUCAACUUUUUUUUCCUCCUUUGCAACUAGAAAGCUUUGCACAGUUGUCAGGAGUUCAGUGCAUGUGAAGCAGUUGCUAUCACUUGACUGAAAUGCAUUUGUUGGCCUGCAUCACUGCCAGGGCAAAACUAAUUAACUUAGGCUAUUGCCAUUGCCAUUUACCAUUUACCACAGUGCAGUUGACAGGUCAUCUUCCUCUCCUGCUGUCAUGCAAACAUAGUCUCCAACACAAAAUAAUACCUCUUUCAAAGGAAAAAAAAAUGUUUCUCUAACAGUCAUGGUUUCUACUUUGUGUUUUUUCCAUUUUUGAAUAAAAUAGUGAAUGCACUUUAUUGCACUUAAAAUGCAGUAGAGUUUGGACUGUUUUCCAACAACCUUAAUCAGUUCUGACAAAAUCAGCAACUGUUUUCUCUAUCCCUUUGUUGGAAAGAAUUGAAUUGUAGAUACUGACGGAACAAAGCUAUUUACAACACUAUUGCAGAACAGGUUGCAGAAGGUAUGAUUGAAACUUACAUUCAUGUCAUGCUGUCUGUAAUGAUGGUGUAAAAAAAUUCAGGUGUUCUGAGCUGCCUUUGAAACAUAUCACAGAAAGACUUGUUGAUAUUGACCUUAAUGUCAGAAAUUAUUGGUUACACUGUCAUAACAUCAGCUAAUGUAUAUGUAAACUGUUCAUACUUCAUUAUUAGAUUGUAGUUGCCUACUUAAUCUCAAGUAUUUUUGUCUCAUAUUCUUCAAUGUAUAUAACUUAGAAAUUAAGGGGGAUGCUGACUUCAUUGGGAAGGCAGUUGAUAUUUUCCUCUAGAGGAGGCUGUGUGCCAGGUCCAAAAUUCUGCAUCAUCAUCUCAAUUUUGAUGAUAAGCCUUAUGCAAGCGAGUCCAAAUUUCUUUUGUUUGGAUUAAUAUGCAGUGGUGUGGUAGACUAUUUCCAGUGAGACUGCUGACCGUUUCGUUACACCUUGUUUUGCUUUCAUCAGUUCCUCAACUGUUUUGCAGGUACUGGAAUGGAAUUGCUUGCUCAAAUAAUUUGGCAGUUUGACUUACUUGAAAUUCUUCUGUCUCCUGAUUAUAUUAAUAAACAAUACAAUUAUUUUAAUAUUAAGAGCUUCUAAGUUGUUCUCAAUAAUGUAACAUUUGAUUUAAUUUCUUCUAGUUGUGGCUACGACCAUCUUGAAGAUUUUGUGAUGAGAAUGUCUCAUGACAUUGCUGCUUAAAAUUAAGUUUAUACCUGUUGCCUCUUGAGAAGGGACAAGAAGAAAAGCUGUUGUUCAAGAUCACAAACAGAACAGCAAGAACCAAAACUCAGCACCACUUUUGGACUGUGAAUAUAAUCUACUGCCUUGGCAGAAAUGCUAAUCAGGGGUUAUUUGGUUAUUUCUCUUUGAUUGAAUACCAUCUUCUAUUUUGUGUUAAAGGUUAUUUUUUUAAAGGAGAGAAAAAACUUUAUCCUAGGAAAGAAUUGCCUGCUACUGUAUCUCUAUACAGGUUUUACUGGGUGUUUUCUAAAAGUUAAAAUAAAUGAUUUGUUUCUUCUAUUUAUUUUUUUUAAUUUUUGAUUGAGUUGUGCAAUACAUUUUGGAUGGAUAGCAAUUGAGGUGAUUUUUCUGAUGAAUUAGACAGUCUUGUUGACUAUUCUCACCUGAUUUGAUCUUGAUUGUUUGCUAGAAGGUCACUUCUAUAUGCUUUUGCUUACAAUAAAUCCAAAUUGCAGCACCUCGUUUGUUUACUCCUAGCUUUUGUACUUAUAUUUUCUGAAUAAAAGGUGUGUUCCUGUAAAGUGUAAAUAGUUACUACAUAACUGUAUCAUACGCUGAUCUGUGACUGUUGACAGCACUAAUAGGAAUAGAGCUGAGAUGAAAUAAAGUUUAUAUACUGUAUAAUUUUGGAACAA